rnacentral:rRNA from 1 species
AUUGAACGCUGGCGGCAGGCUUAACACAUGCAAGUCGAGCGGGGAAGAGUAGCUUGCUACUUAACCUAGCGGCGGACGGGUGAGUAAUGCUUAGGAAUCUGCCUAUUAGUGGGGGACAACAUCUCGAAAGGGAUGCUAAUACCGCAUACGUCCUACGGGAGAAAGCAGGGGACCUUCGGGCCUUGCGCUAAUAGAUGAGCCUAAGUCGGAUUAGCUAGUUGGUGGGGUAAAGGCCUACCAAGGCGACGAUCUGUAGCGGGUCUGAGAGGAUGGUCCGCCACACUGGGACUGAGACACGGCCCAGACUCCUACGGGAGGCAGCAGUGGGGAAUAUUGGACAAUGGGGGGAACCCUGAUCCAGCCAUGCCGCGUGUGUGAAGAAGGCCUUUUGGUUGUAAAGCACUUUAAGCGAGGAGGAGGCUACCGAGAUUAAUACUCUUGGAUAGUGGACGUUACUCGCAGAAUAAGCACCGGCUAACUCUGUGCCAGCCGCCGCCGUAACAC